CUCAGCACUCCCUCCCACCAUCACCGGGGGAGCGGGCGUUCCCGUCCCGAGGGGAGGCCGGAGACCGCAGGGAAGCCAGGAGUCAGCCGGGUUCCCAGACCCCCCCGACGCCACCUUCUCCUGCCCCCAAACACUGACUGCGCCCUCAGUGCUGAGAAGCCCGGGUGGAUAAGCCAACUGUGCUCGUCCUGCUGGGUUCUGAACCCAGCCAGGGCCGCGGAGACGGUUCUAACCUCUCGCCUUUAAGACUCUUCCGACCAAACUGGCUGAGAGGGCGAGGGCGGGAGCUCGGUUCCACACACCUGCACUCCCCAGCCUCGGGGGCAGGAUCGGCUCCCCAGCACCCUUCACCCGCCCCAGAGCGCGCUCCGCGGGCCGCCAGCCCGGGCCGGCCGCCGAGGGAGCCCGCCCUCUACACUUUCUCCCCGGCCCCCUGCCCCGGAGGCCCCUUUCCCCAGGGCCUGCCGCAGCCUAGGAUGACCUUGGUCUCGUCCCUUCCUUCCUUGUAAAGAGGGCCUUGAGGGAGUGGAAGUCUCCCCUCCACUUGGCAUUAGAGGAACCCGAAGGAGGUCCUGGUAAGGAACACAGUACUAACAAGCCACCACCAACCGGAAGAGUUCAGGAAAGGUCAUAAGGAGAUGCAACGUGUCCUACCACCUCCUAGAAUCCUCCUUGCUGGCAGCCAUCUUGACUGAGCAAUGCAUGCACCACCAGGAAGGACCCUGAGUCAGAAUGAUUGGCCAAGGGCAACCCGGAAACUAAUCCCAUCACCAUGAAACUGUGAACCGCAUGGCAGAGCAGUGCUCCUGGGUUCCCUCACCCUCCUGCUCUCCGCCCG
ensembl:lncRNA